AUUGAACGCUGGCGGCAGGCCUAACACAUGCAAGUCGAACGAGUGGCGGACGGGUGAGUAAUAUAUCGGAACGUGCCCAGUAGCGGGGGCUAACUACUCGAAAGAGUGGCUAAUACCGCAUACUGUUGGAGCGGCUGAUAUCGGUUUAGCUAGUUGGGGGGGUAAAGGCUCACCAAGGCAACGAUCCGUAGCUGGUCUGAGAGGACGACCAGCCACACUGGGACUGAGACACGGCCCAGACUCCUACGGGAGGCAGCAGUGGGGAAUUUUGGACAAUGGGGGAAAGCCUGAUCCAGCCAUGCCGCGUGUGUGAGAAGGCCUUCGGGUUGUAAAGUACUUUUGGCAGAGAAGCGGUAUCUGCAGAAUAAGCACCGGCUAACUACGUGCCAGCAGCCGCGGUAAUUC
rnacentral:rRNA from 1 species